UACGUAGGGACCAAGCGUUGUUCGGAUUUACUGGGCGUAAAGGGCGCGUAGGCGGCAAUUCAAGUCAUCUGUGAAAUCUCCGGGCUUAACUCGGAACGGUCAGAUGAUACUGCUUUGCUAGAGUACAGAAGGGGCAAUCGGAAUUCUUGGUGUAGCGGUGAAAUGCGUAGAUAUCGAGAGGAACACCUGAGGUGAAGACGGGUUGCUGGGCCGACACUGACGCUGACAGCGCGAAAGCCAGGGGAGCAAACGGG
rnacentral:rRNA from 1 species